AAAAUAUGUCUUGUGCAAAUUACUCUGAUAUACUUUAGAUUGAAUAGAGACUAUCAAAGAUCUGCCAUCAACAACUGAUAACCUGAUAGCAUUAAAAUAUGACAAAGGGCAAACACUGACGAAGUUCAAGACUUUUGGGAAGGGCACAUGAAUAUUUGGCAGAGUUGAACCAGUAUAAUUUUUUUUUUAUAUUAUAUUAUAUUCUCCCCCA
rnacentral:lncRNA from 1 species